rnacentral:rRNA from 1 species
GCUGCAUGGCUGUCGUCAGCUCGUGUCGUGAGAUGUUGGGUUAAGUCCCGCAACGAGCGCAACCCUCGCCUUUAGUUGCCAGCAUUCAGUUGGGCACUCUAGAGGGACUGCCGGUGUCAAACCGGAGGAAGGUGGGGAUGACGUCAAGUCCUCAUGGCCUUUAUGUCUAGGGCUACACACGUACUACAAUGGCCGGUACAAAGGGCAGCCACUCAGCGAUGAGGCGCUAAUCCCAUAAAGCCGGUCUCAGUCCGGAUCGCAGUCUGCAACUCGACUGCGUGAAGUUGGAAUCGCUAGUAAUCGUAGAUCAGCAUGCUACGGUGAAUACGUUCCCGGGCCUU